rnacentral:tRNA from 1 species
GCCCAGCUGGCUCAGUCAGUAGAGCAUGAGGCUCUUGAUCUGAGGGUCGUGAGUUUGAGCCCCACAUUGGGUA